AGCUUUGCGCAGUGGCAGUAUCGUAGCCAAUGAGGUUUAUCCGAGGCGCGAUUAUUGCUAAUUGAAAAAAAAAAUGAAAGGUAACCAUCAAUUUUAGAUUUCUAGGGCAAUACAGUUUUCAUUUACACUUCACUUAAUAAACAUUUGCUGAGACCUUUUCUGCACCAGCUACAGAGCA
rnacentral:snRNA from 1 species